GAAGCAAAGAUUAAUUGGAGCUGUGGUUUGAGUUAAUGAUAAGAGCAAGAUAUUUUUCGUAUCUCAGUGCACUGUGACGAACGCACUCUCCCCCUGUUUUUGACUUUUCCAGAACCAUUUUUUCCAUAUAUUUUUAUUAUCGCAUCCUGGAAACUUUUUCUCGUUACCUGAAAAGAGAUAAAAUGAUUGGAGAAAUCAGAGAAUGCUGUUGAACAUUUGUUAAAAACAAUCUACAAAAUUGAUUUUCAAGAAGUCAUGUAACAUUGAUGCAGAUAUCAAUUGCAACUAAAGCAAGUGAUAAAUAUACAGGACCCGGGACUCUUCUCAAGACGGAGGGAUAGAGAAGAACAAAUUAGCUGGGAGACUUUAAGCGCUGAUUCAAUUUCAAGCAAGGCCAAUGAAGGCGUCAAACUAAGAGAUACAAGAACAUCCAUUGACUUGAAAAUACAAAUGUAUUCUUUCAUAGUGUUUACACAAAUCUAAUUACUUGUCUCCUGUUUUAAUCUGCAAAAUGAUGAUUUUUGGUCUUAAAAAAAACAAUUUUGUUUCAAUCAUCACAUAAAACAAUGUCCAUGUAUUAAUUCUUAUAAUGAAAAACCUGU